UACGAAGGGGGCUAGCGUUGCUCGGAAUCACUGGGCGUAAAGCGCACGUAGGCGGCUUUUUAAGUCAGAGGUGAAAUCCUGGAGCUCAACUCCAGAACUGCCUUUGAUACUGGAGAGCUUGAGUCCGGGAGAGGUGAGUGGAAUUCCCGGUGUAGCGGUGAAAUGCGCAGAUAUCGGGAAGAACACCCGUGGCGAAGGCGGCUCUCUGGGACGGUACUGACGCUGAGACGCGAAAGCGUGGGGAGCGAACAGG
rnacentral:rRNA from 1 species